rnacentral:rRNA from 1 species
GGGCUCAGAACGAACGCUGGCGGCACGCUUAAAGAGAGGUCGAACGGAGUUUAUUGGAGCUUGCUUUGAUAAACUUAGUGGCGGACGGGUGAGUAACACGUGAGAAUCUGCCUUACGGUGGGGGAUAGCAGUUGGAAACGACUGAUAAUACCGCAUAACAUAGAGGUAUCGCAUGGUACUUUUAUCAAAGAUUUAUUGCCGUAAGAUGAGCUCGCGUCUGAUUAGAUAGUUGGUGAGGUAACGGCUCACCAAGUCGACGAUCAGUAGCCGGACUGAGAGGUUGAACGGCCACAUUGGGACUGAGACACGGCCCAGACUCCUACGGGAGGCAGCAGUGGGGAAUAUUGCACAAUGGGCGAAAGCCUGAUGCAGCGAUGUUUUUUUGAGGCACGAAGGUUUUAGGAUUGUAAACCUCUGUCCUAUGGAAAGAUAAUGACGGUACCAUAGGAGGAAGCUCCGGCUAACUACGUGCCAGCAGCCGCGGUAAUACGUAGGGAGCGAGCGUUGUCCGGAAUUACUGGGUGUAAAGGGAGUGUAGGCGGGACUGUAAGUCAGAUGUGAAAACUAUGGGCUUAACCCAUAGACUGCAUUUGAAACUGCGGUUCUUGAGUGAAGUAGAGGUAAGCGGAAUUCCUAGUGUAGCGGUGAAAUGCGUAGAUAUUAGGAGGAACAUCAGUGGCGAAGGCGGCUUACUGGGCUUUAACUGACGCUGAGGCUCGAAAGCGUGGGGAGCAAACAGGAUUAGAUACCCUGGUAGUCCACGCCGUAAACGAUGAUUACUAGGUGUGGGGGGACUGACCCCUUCCGUGCCGCAGUUAACACAAUAAGUAAUCCACCUGGGGAGUACGGCCGCAAGGCUGAAACUCAAAGGAAUUGACGGGGGCCCGCACAAGCAGUGGAGUAUGUGGAUUAAUUCGAAGCAACGCGAAGAACCUUACCAGGUCUUGACAUCGUGAGCAUAGCAUAGAGAUAUGUGAAAUCCCUUCGGGGACUCAUAGACAGGUGGUGCAUGGUUGUCGUCAGCUCGUGUCGUGAGAUGUUGGGUUAAGUCCCGCAACGAGCGCAACCCUUAUGUUUAGUUGCUACGCAAGAGCACUCUAAGCGGGCUGCCGUUGACAAAACGGAGGAAGGUGGGGAUGACGUCAAAUCAUCAUGCCCCUUAUGACCUGGGCCUCACACGUACUACAAUGGCUAUCAACAAAGUGAAGCGAGACCGCGAGGUGGAGCAAAACACAAAAAAUAGUCUUAGUUCGGAUUGUAGGCUGCAACCCGCCUACAUGAAGUCGGAAUUGCUAGUAAUCGCAGAUCAGCAUGCUGCGGUGAAUACGUUCCCGGGCCUUGUACACACCGCCCGUCACACCAUGGGAGUCGGUAACACCCGAAGUCAGUAGCCUCCCCAAGGAGGGCGCUGCCGAAGGUGGGAUUGAGCG